CGUUGAAGCCAGAGAACACCAGGUGUGUAUGCGAACCUUCCUUCCUUCGAGUCCUUCCAGCGAGUUGUACCUCACAGGCAUAUCUUCAUCAGUUGCAAAACACUCUACAAUGUCAUAUUUCUAUUGACCAGCUAACCAAAUUUCUGUCAAAUGCACAAUCAAGUCGAGGGAUUUAGCAAAAAAAUCUUGCUACACUUAGAAACCAGCAAUCUAUGGAGCACCCUCUUCUUGGAGAAUUCUCAGCUGCAGUUGCACACCAGAUGGAGAUCGUGGCCCCUCCAAAGCUUUGGACUUCACUUAUCGUCAAUCAGCUGUCUAUGGUUGUAGCAUCAUCCAACACAGUGUCUGCGAAGGAGUUUGGGAUACCUUUCUUUCAAAGAUCCACAAGUGGGAAGAAGACAACUGCAUUGGUGCAGGGCAAUCUGAAACCCGCCCAGCCUGUGCCGCGCACCAAUGCCGAACCAACCUGAAGAGCAAAGUAAAGUUAGCUACCAUUCUGUUAAAUGUUGUUCAGCACCUGGUGAUACCACGGCAAUUUUUGUUUUUAUCCCCGCGUUUGUUAUCUGUAAUUGAAUUGUGCUCAUUAACUACAGUCGGGUUUCCGUUCUCCCACGCAGAGACUCUAGUUCUUGAUGCCUUCAUGUGCAGUAAACUCCAUUGCGGGGCCAAUGUCAUGUUUGCUACCUCAAGGUGGAGAAUUGUCCUUGCAAUAGGUAACUUAGCAUUUGAAAUUGCAAUAUACUAAAACUAUAAUACAACUCAGAAGUCGCCCUUCUUGUACUGCUCUCUGCAGAGAUUACAGUGCCUUUUUCUGCUGCA